GAGGGCGUAGCUCAGUGGUAGAGCGAAAGCCUAGCAGGCACGAGGCCCUGGGUUCAAUCCCCAGCACCUCCA
rnacentral:tRNA from 1 species